UACGGGAGGCAGCGGUGGGGAAUAUUGCACAAUGGGCGAAAGCCUGAUGCAGCUAUGCCGCGUGUAUGAAGAAGGCCUUAGGGUUGUAAAGUACUUUCAUCGGGGAGGAAAAACAAAACUAAUAAUUUUAUUUCUUGACGUUACCCGAAAAAGAAGCACCGGCUAACUCCGUGCCAGCAGCCGCGGUAAUACGGAGGGUGCUAGCGUUAAUCAGAAUUACUGGGCGUAAAGAGCACGUAGGUGGUUUUUUUAAGUCAGAUGUGAAAUCCCUGGGCUUAACCUAGGAACUGCAUUUUGAAACUGAAAUACUAGAGUAUCGUAGAGGGAGGUAGAAUUCUAGGUGUAGCGGUGAAAUGCGUAGAUAUCUGGAGGAAUACCUGUGGCGAAAGCGGCCUCCUAAACGAAUACUGACACUGAGGGUGCGAAAGCGUGGGGAGCAAACAGGGAUUAGAUACC
rnacentral:rRNA from 1 species